rnacentral:rRNA from 1 species
UGGGGAAUUUUGCGCAAUGGGGGAAACCCUGACGCAGCAACGCCGCGUGGAGGAUGAAGGUCUUCGGAUUGUAAACUCCUGUCCUCGGGGACGAAAAAAAUGACGGUACCCGGGGAGGAAGCCCCGGCUAACUCCGUGCCAGCAGCCGCGGUAAUACGGGGGGGGCGAGCGUUGUUCGGAAUUACUGGGCGUAAAGGGCGCGUAGGCGGCCUGGGAAGUCUUGGGUGAAAGCCCCCGGCUCAACCGGGGAAGGGCCUGAGAAACCACUGGGCUGGAGUGCUGGAGAGGGAAGCGGAAUUCCUGGUGUAGCGGUGAAAUGCGUAGAGAUCAGGAGGAACAUCUGUGGCGAAGGCGGCUUCCUGGACAGACACUGACGCUGAGGCGCGAAAGCUAGGGGAGCAAACAGG